rnacentral:lncRNA from 1 species
UUCUACGACAAUAUUGUUAUUUAUCCAAACUGAAGAUGUUCGUCGGUUGCCUUCACAGUGCUGUUUAUCCAAAUUGAAGAUGUGUCGGCUGAAAAGGAAAAUAAAAAUCUCAAGGUUGUUGAGAAGUUUUGUGAAAACGAGGGUUUGCACAUGGCAGUUUGUGUGUUGAAUUAGAGGGGUUUUUUCUGUUGCCACUGCCUCUGUAUUUAUAGGGACAUAU